rnacentral:lncRNA from 1 species
UUUUUUUUAAGAUGGAGUUUCACUCUUGUUGCCCAGGCUGGAGUGCAAUGAUUACAAUCUCGACUCACUGCAACUUCCGCCUCUCGGGUUCAAACAAUUCUCAAGUGCCUCAGCCUCUCGGGUAGCUGGGAUUAUAGGCACGUGCCACCAUGCCUGGCUAAUUUUUGUAUUUUAAGUAGCGAUGGGGUUUCACCAUGUUGCCCAGGCUGGUCUCGAGCUCCUAACCUCAAGUGAUUCAUCUGCCUCAGUCUCCCAAAGUGCUGGGAUUACUGGUGUGAGCUACUGUGCCUGGCCUUCCCUUAUAUUUUUGACUCAAAAAAAGUCUGUUCUCAGCUGGGUGCGGUGGCUCAUGCCAGUAAUCCCAGCACUUUGGGAGGCCAAGGCAGGCAGAUCACUUGAGCCCAGGAGUUUGAGACCAGCCUUGGCAACAUGGCAAAACCCCAUUUGUACAAAACAAAUACAAAAAGUUAACUGGGUGUGGUGGCGUGUGCCUGUGGUCCCUGAUACCAGGGAGGCUGAGGUAGGAGGAUCUCUUGAACCUGGGAAAUCUGAGGCUGCAGUGAGCCAAGAUUUCGCCACUGCACUCAAGCCUGGGUGGCAGAAUGAGACCCUGUCCCUCCCUCCCCACAAAUGCCUGUUCUCCUACAAUGAGAAAUAAGCUGAUAACAUUUUUGACUUAAGAAGAAGCAGAUAUUAGAAAUUACAGCCUGUGAGAGAAUGGUGUGAACCCGAGAGGUGGAGCUUGCAGUGAGCUGAGAUUGGGCCACUGUACUCCAGCCUGGGUGGCAGAGUGAGACUCCGUCUCAAAAAAAAAAAAAAGCCUGUGAAAUGAAAGGUAUUUGAAAGACUCAGUAUGAUGGAGAGUUUCAGUUCUUGCUGACGAGAAACACUGAGGACUGUGAUAAUUGUAAAGGUUAAGGUUUGGCACAGUUGCUGAGGGCUUGUCUUGAAAGAGGAAGUAGUCAACACUAUGGCAUUUCUUUUUUUUUUUUUUUUUGAGGUGGAGUCCUACUCUGUUGCCCAGGCUGGAGUGUAGUGGCACAAUCUCAGCUCACUGCAAUCUCCGCCUCCCUGGCUCAAGUGAUUCUCCUGCCUCAGCCUCCCGAAUAGCUGGGAAUACAGGUGUCUGCCACCAUGCCCAGCUAAUUUUUGUAUUUUUAGUAGAGACGGGGUUUCACCAUGUUGGCCAGGCUGGUCUCAAACCCCUGACCUCGGGUGAUCCACCCGCCUCGGCCUCCCAAAGUGCUGGGAUUACAGGUGUGAGCCACCGUGCCCAGCCGGAAAGUGUUAUUUUUAUCAACUGCAUGUUUACUUUUCAAGAAUUUCUAGUGGUUCUCUAAUCUUUUCAUUUUUCAAGGAAGCCUGUUUUGUAGUUGGUUUGUUUUUAAGGAAUAUACCCCUUAAAACCUUUAACAUAGUAAUUGGGGUGUUUGUGUGGAUGUCUGGUUUGAUCUGUUGUUCCUGUUUGUUUUCCCUAAAGUCAUAUAAUCUGUAUUUUUCUCUUUCCUGGUACUUGCUUUUUCUCAAAUAACGCAGUGACCCUUGGUUGUCCAGAGAUUUGAAUGGUGGUUUGUAUUGGUUAGUAUAAGUAGCUAUCUUGCAUUUUUUUGCAGUUAAGUUCGCUUACCUACAAGGGUCCUCUCCUGGAUGGAAGAUCUCACUGUGGAUUCGUGUGUCUGUGUGUGUGCUUGUACAUGUGUACACACGUGCAUGUUUGUGUGUGUUUAAUGAAGUGAGUGGAGAAGCACAGGCCACUGCCACAUUUAUCAAGUAAGUGGGUUGUGGUUUGUACUCUGAGGUGGAGUGCUUAAGUUUAUUCCACUCUUAAGUGGAACUGCCAUCUUUCUCUCCUCCCUCCCUUCUCUUUUCUCUUUUUCUCCUCCUCUCCCAUUCUCUCUUUGCCCUCCACUUCUUUCCAUUUUCAGUGUCAUCCGUGGCAUUUCUGCAGACUUUGUGCUGCUUUACUCUUCAGCCUCAAAUCCUGCUCUAGGGUUUCUUCCCAGACUGAAAUGUGCUUUUUGUAACAAAUGUGCUUUGUAUAAUUUGCUUUGUCUGACUGAGAGCAUCUGUUCUACAGAAACAGGAAGUCAGGAGGGACAACCUGGACAAGUCUCCCUAUAAUUACCCUCAUUACUUCAUCACAGCCUUUGUCACUGAGCCUUUGCCACAACCUUUGUCACUGACAACUACAGUCUAUGUAUUUUGGGUUUCAUUUUUCUCUACUCUGGUUUAUUCAUAGGUAGGGUCCAUCUGUUUUUAGAGAAUGGCCACUUUUUGGUUGAAGUUUUUUCAAAAUUUCCUAAAAUUUGUAGCCAACAUAUGUCAGUCUUGCGAAAUAAGUUCAUCCUCUGCAAACCUUUGAAAGUAAUUUAGGAAGAGGCUUGCAUAUUUGUUUUUACUUAGUAUUAAAUCAUGAUUUUAUUCCAAAGCACAAUUCCCUUUUCACAUUAGUGGCGUUGAAAUAAUCUUCCUUACCUCUUUCCUGAUAUUCUCCCAAGUUCCAUCAUUUUUCCAUUUCUUAAGACAUCUUUCAUAGUUAAAUUUUAAUCGUAUACUUGAAGCUUAAGGUAAUCCAUGGCAUUGGGGGAUUUAGAGAUGAGUAAUCAAUUAAAAUAAUUGAAAGAUUGUGUUGAACCCAGCUCUUUUCUUUUUUAGAGACAGGAUCUCACUCUCACCCAGGCUGGAAGUGUGGUGGUGUGAUCUCAGCUCACUGCAUCCUUGACCUCCCGGGCUCAAGCCCACCUCAGCCACUGCCCAUGUCCCCCUGGGCACCAUGACACCCAGCGUGUGUGUAUGUGUGCGUGUGUGUAGAGAAAUACAAAUCCGUGUGUGUGUGUGUGUGUGUGUGUGUAGAGAAAUACAAAUCCCUCCCAAAGUGCUGGGAUUAUAGGCGUGUGCCAACGCUGGUGGCCCAGCAUUUUUCCUGUAGAUUUUUUGUCCCCCUAGAAAUGAGUUAACAUUCUUUAACAGUAGAGAAAAUGUAGACGGAACCAUCAGACAUUCACACCACAAGUAAAAAGGAAGUGAUUGGUAUCAUCUUCUCAGUGUUGGAGGUGGCAUUGUAGUCUAGUGGAAUCAGUACUUACAUUAAAAGUAUUACCUUAAGUACUCAGGACUUAAAUGCUGUUUUUCUUAGUAGUAUCUGUCUUUCUUAAAAAAAAACAUAAUCAACAUAGUGAAUGUAAUGGUGGUCUCUCAUUUUGUGUUUUCUAGUUCUGAGAGGUAAAUGGCAUUACAUCAAGUGUAUUACUUGGGGUGAAUGUUCAUAAUCAGAAUUCAGUGUUAUUUUUUCUGGAGUCAUUUGAAAACUGAAAUUUAGCAGUCUUACAAAAGUUGCACUUUGGGAACAUGCUCUCACAUCGAGCCAUUUUCUGCUUUCCCAUACUCUGUUCAUAGUAGUAACAGCUCUUGCUGGAUAACUAAGUCUAUAUGGAAAUAGCUGUCCCCAUGGUGAACUUUUUCAGGGCAGAGAUUGGAUCACAAUGAAAGCUUUUAUUCAUUGAAUGUUCAAAAUAUAUGCUAGGCAUGAUGCUAAGUGCUUCAUGUAUUUAAUUCCUGAAACAAGCCAAUAAUUGGGUAAUAAUCUCCAUUUUGUACAUGUAAAUAUUAAGGCUAGGCAAGGGUUAAGUAGAUUACUUAAGGACGUAACUAGUAAGUGACAUCUGAGAUUUAAACACAACCAGUUUACUGGAAAUUUUUUACUAUUAGCCAUUAUGUAGCAUAUGAGCACUGAACCUAUUUGAAUUACAUGUAACAUACCCUUUUCUUGAUUCCAAAUGUAACUGAUUUGACACUGCUGCUUUUAUUGGACAAAGCUACUUUCAUCACUUGGUUAUUCUCUUCUUACGGGGGGGAAAUCAUAGUCGACUGUAAGUGGAAAUGAGAAUUUUCAUGAUUUACUCUUGGUCCUGGCUCAGAGAUGAAAGUGGAAUAAACCCUUAAUCUAUUUUCCUGAAGAACUUAUUUUUGGAUUUUAAACAAUGUGUAUAUAGGUCUAUUUUUUGCUCUCUCAUCAUUUCCUCAUUCAUUCAAUAAAGAAAAAGAACAUGGCAGAUUUUAAACACCUUCACGAGUAGAUACUGGUAUUGUUUAUAAUAUGUUUAAUUUAAUUUGAACUGGUUUGGAUUUUCCUACUAAGUAUUCCUUGGUUUUCACAUCUCUGGAAUGGUAAGAUCUUUUUUCUGAGGUCUGUGGGCAAAAAUUUUUAAGGUUCUUGUGUGUCUUUUAUUUCAUGUUUACAUUUAUAACGGGACUGGUUGGAUAUUGAAUGCUAGAUUCAAAACUUUUCCCCCUAUUUCAGCACUUUCAAGAUUUUGUUCCAUUCUCCUCCUCCUCUUCAUUUUAAUCAAGAAAAUUAUUUACAGAGUGACUGCUUGCGGGGCAGGACUAACCCAUAGGCAGUGUGCCCUGAGUAGCCCCACUCUCUUCUUGCAGCUAGUGUGUUGAUGAGAAGUUGUAUAGUAUAUUGCAGAAUGUCCCUCAGUUGUGAUUUAUCUACUAUUUCUCUCAUGAUUAGACAGGGAAUUGUCGGUUUUUGAGAGGAAGAUCACACAGGUAAAGUGCCAUUUUCAUCAUACCAUGUCAUGGAUGUAUACUAUCAGUAUGACUUGAUGUUGAUCUUGAUCAUCUGCUUGAGGUAGAGUUUGUCAAGUUUCUUCAACAACAGCUACUCUUAUUUCCCACUUUUCAUACUGUACUCUUUGGAAUGAAGUCAUAAUAUUAAUAUAUAGCCCACACUUAAGGAGUGGAGCAUUACACCUCACCUCUUUUCAGGUGGAGUAACUGUGUAAAUUAUGUGGAAUUCUUAGGCAUGGGAGACUUCACUCUUCUCCACUUAUUUAUUCAGUUAUUUGCUUAUAUCAGUAUGGACUAAAUGGAUAUUUUAUGGGAAUAUGUUUUUAAUAUGGUGGAAAUUAAUAAUAUAACCAGCUCCCAGUUGAAGUUUUCUCAGAUUACAUUUUUCUUUGAAACAGAAAUGGAGAUGUUUGUUAAGAUCCAGUUGGAGCAUAUGUUAUCUCAGAUUACUCAUUAAUAGAAAAAAAUCUCAGUCAUAUCUGGAAAUUACACAAUCUGCCAGGGCUCAUGUGAUAGAUACCUGCCUGCACAGUAUUUAAGAGUUCAUGCACCCUUCUUGUUUUGAUAGAUACAUGUUUUCAUCACUGCCGUUGUUACUUCCUUUCUGUCAAGAGGUGAAUAACAGUAGGUGGACAAAGUUUAGGGAGCCACAUUUACCAACUUCUGUGAAUAUACCCAAGAAGAUUCUGGCAAAACAUAGAUUCAAAUUACAGUUGAUGCUGUGGAUGGCUAUGGGUUAACUACUCUUCUACUUUGACACGGAUUAUUUGUUGCUUUUAUGUUUCUAAAUUCUCAAUUAAAAAGAAGUGUAUCCUUAAUCUGGCCAACUGAAAGUGAACUUGUUCAUUCACCUCUACCUUGCUUUCAAAAGGACUGCUUACCAUGGAAGUGCUCCAGAAGAAUCAUUUGAAACAUCUUUUGUUUUCCUUCUUGGUUCUGCGUUUUCUUCCUUACCAGGGGCUUCAGUCAUGGCUUCUCUUUAUUCUUGGCCUGGGUUGUCUGCUGGCACUAAUACAUCUAUUAUUAACGUAGUGUAGGUACUGGCCUUUCUAAUAGUCUUGGUAUUUAGUGCCAGACUCCCAUCAAUCUUUUGAAUGUCUUUUCUUUUUCUUUUUGCACUUUUCUAGCUUUUCAAGUGAUGACUAUAUACUGCUUUUCUUGACUGUAUAUAUUGUUACUGAAUUGUGAAUAUCUGCAGAAAUGUUUACUAGAGAACCUGUGACUGUUGAAUAACAUGUGCCCGAACAUACACACACACAUAUGUACACACACACCUCAGAGUACUCUUUCUUACAGCGGACUUUGCUGCUGCUUUCUGCAUGUGUGGGACACUGGUAUCUCCCGUCUCAGACAAAUGGCUGAUGUUCUCUAUGAUAUUGGUGUUAAUAUCAAAGAAUUGAAUGAAUACAACAGAAUUGAGGUUGAAAAAUAUUUGAUUGCCACAUUCCUUUAAGCAUCUUUGAUGAAUACUCUGCAAAGUAGCCUUUAAAAAAAUGUAAAUUUUUUAAAAAGUCCACAGAGGAGAAUUUGCUGGUUAGCACAAAACAUACUGCAAAAUUGCUUCUUUCUGGUUAUUAUAACUGAAGAAUAUAGAAGAUUGACACACAUUUUAUACACCCUCAGGCAGUGUUUUGGAAUAAUAUUGUACCUUUUCAAAUUGUUAUCAAUUAACUGUUUUUCUCCAUUUCAUAAUUCUCAAGAUUUUUCUAAAUACAGCCUUUAAAUUUGACUCAAAUGGAAAUUGUGCACUUUCCUGUUUAUACCCUUCCCCACGUUAUUGUAAAAGAGUUUAACAGCAGCCUGAUAUGUAAGUUUCAGCAAAACUUAUACCUGUAUAUGUUUUUAUUUGACUCAAAAAUUAGAUAUUUUACCAUAUAGUCAUAAGAAUUUGCUCACUUUGAUGCCAGAAGUACUUAAGAAGUUACACGGCACUAAUUUUAUGAGUUGUAUGCCUAAUUUCAAUUUCUAACCUAUUUGACAGUUUCUUUUAGGUCAGCCUUUGUUGGUCUUCCAUGUAAAUACAAGUUGGUACAAAUCAAUAGAAACCAUUUUACCUACAUAGGCAAAGUAAAUGUGUGACUUAGAGACUGCCAGAUUUAUGGUGCAUCUACCUUUUUAUCCAUUUGAGCUUGCUUUUUUAUGUUUGUGUAUUGGUUGCUCCUGACACUAUACAUUUCAAAAUUUUUUAUAACUUGAAAAACACUUCUGUGCUACCACUCAGUUCUGAUCAAAUCCUUACAUUUUGCAACACUCAUUUCUGAAUUUUCAGUAAAGAAAUACACAUUACAAAUUAAAGGUUAAAGGCCCCUUUACAUGCCCUUCCCCAGUCUCCUCUUCCUCCCCCGGAAGUGUCCAUUCUGCUGAAUUCAGGUUCAUCAUUGCCAGACAAAUGUAGUAAGCUAGUGUUUCACAUUUCCAAAAUCAGCCUUCUGGCAGACUUGGAAGUACUCUUGAGAAAAGAAGACUCGUGACCAAAUUCUCCCACAGAUUUGUAAUAAUGUACAUAUUGAAAGGACUGAAGGCUCUCAGACUGGGAAAGAAACUUACCCAUUUUAAAAUUCAGCAUUGCUCAACUUACCUGACUGCCGGACCCCUUCACCCAUGAUUCUAUGCACUGUAUUGUUGGAACAUACAUUGUGAAAACACUGCCCUGCCUAGGCAUACCCCCUUUCCAGAAUUAACUUUCCAUUUAAUUCUAUAGUUUUUCACUGAUGUAACUUUCUAGACUGGACAACAAAGAUGACUAAUAGUAAUCACUCCAAGUUGAUGUUGACUGUUGGGUUGUGGUGAAAUCAUUUUGCAUUAAAGGAAGGUAAAAUACUAAUAAAUUGCAUAUUCCUUGACCAGAGCACAGAUUACUUAUGCUUCUUAAUUUUUUAAAAUCUUAAAUCCUCUGUCCAACUGGAGUAUCUGGCUAUGGGCCAUGGGUACUCAUAUACCCUUUGUCUUAAACUGAUCUGUUACAUUUUAUGUUCUUGUGGCUAGAAGUAGCCUGAGUUUGCUGUUAAUGUUUAACACAUUUUCUUGAGUAACAGUUCUGUUAAUAUUGUACAAGAUGGUACUUGAAUUCUUUGUUUGCCUUUUUUCUUCCUGUAUUAGAAAAUCUUGGUGCUUUUUAUAAGUUUUGUAUAAAAGAAUUUUUUUUAAGAUUUGUUCAUAAAAUGGUCUGAUCCAGGAAAAAUAAAAUGGGAACAUGGACACCAUUUCUGACCUUCAAAUAAAACUUAUUAUGUAUUGGUUUUCAGACUGUUCACCGAGCUUUGGGAUCCUAUGGACUGUCUCAAGACAGGUUAUUUAGGGGCUUGGGGUAACAGGUUCCUUAGGAUCUGAUGAGGUGGAGGAGGGGUGAUCAGGUGGAGGAGGGGUGAGGGCCUGAGAAAAAUGCACAGGGCACAAAGUUUACAUCCAGUUUCACAGAAGCCAGGGAACCUCCUCCUUUAAGGGAAUAGUCAAAAAGCAGACCUUCUGCCCUUACUGGUUCUAGCCUUCACUGCACUACACUUUACGGUUCUGGGACAGGGAAUAAUGAACAAGAAGUCUUCACUAUCUACAAAGCAAGUCUAGAAUGUCUGUUCACCAAAUAUCUAAUACCUAAUCCAUUUAUCAUGUUAUUCUUAGAAUUUUAAGGUUUAUUAAGGAGUCUGCAUUUUAUUUCUAGAAUCUCCUUUUUAACACAUUAGGCAUUUUUUUCAUUAGGAAAAUUAUCUUGUUUGCAUUCUGCACUUUGCUAUUUCAAGUGUGGUUACAUAGCAUAUUUUAAAAGGGGGAGAGAGUUUUCUGUUUUUAUUUUGUGGAGAAAGGUCUUUAAAAGUGCAUUCAUGUUUUUUUAAAGCUUAAUUUCAAUCUUGAUCCAGAAGACUUUUAUUCUAAGUAUUAACUUUCUUAAAAAGCUGUUGUUCUAGCACUAUGUAACCCUACAAAUACUCCCCAGUAUUCAGGUCUUGUUUUGUUUGGUGACCACAUAUUUGAGAGGUUGAGCACCAAUAACAGGAGCUCAAUAAACGUUGGCAUCAUGCACAUUUAUUUUGAAUUAAUGAGUGGAAGUGGAAGAGUACAUAAAUGAAUAUGUGAAAGAACGAGUAGAAUAAGUGAAAUCGUUUACUUCCUGUUUGCUGUACAUUUUAAUGCUAUUAAUGGUCACUUUCUGCAAAUAAUUAUUACAAAGUAGUAAGUCAAACAUUUCUGGCAUAUUAGACACAGGUUAAUCUACAAAGCAGCAUCACCUGUCUCCAGGAGAUGCUAAUUCUGUCACUGGUCAUUUAGCUAGGACUCUGAAGGAACGUUUAGCUGGAUAGCUAGCUAAGGAAUGAUGCAAACUCACUGUUCUCAAUGCUUAAUAUCUAAAAAUAACUCAGUGUGAUUAAUUUGGAAUUUCUUUUGGUGGAGUUAGUUUAUGGUUGUCACAUUCCUUCAUUCCGAACAAGACUCUGGUCUUCAGAAUCAAUAUGUUUACUUAUUAAAUAGUCAAAAGAAUUAUGUAUUUAUCCCUAAAUUAUUUUCUUAUAUAGUUCUGAGAGGUGGAAAGGAGUAUAGAAGUUGUCAUAUACAAGCUCUUCAGUUACAGUUGAGAAAGUGAAAGUUGAUUUGUAAUUGGAACAGAAGGGACUAUCCACUUCAUCUGGAUGUUAUAUUUAGUGAGAUGAAGACAGGAUUGGAUGAGGAGGAAGAAAAUCCGGGCCCCCUCCCACCACUGCCCUAACCCUUUCAGGCUUCCGUGUUCUCAUCUGCAGAGUUAGAGGGCUGGAUAGUUCUGCAGGUCUUCUCAAGCUCUGGUAUCAUUGAAAGAUAAUUUUUUGUUGUUGCUGUUCAUUGUACAACUGAGAUAAAUAAAAAUAAGAUUGUGGAAAUUUAAAGGGACACUUUCUUUAGGGCCAGUUAUUGUCCAAUAGGGUUUUUUUGUUUUUUGUUUUUUGUUUUGUGACGACGGAAGUAUUCUAUAUCUCUCCUGUCUGAUAUUCUUAGCCACUAGUCACGUGUGACUAUUAAGCCCUUGAAAUGUCACUGAUAUGACUGAGAAACUAAAAUUUUAACCCUAAAACAAAUUUAAACAGCCGUAUAUGGCUAAUAGGUGCCAUAUGGGACAGUGCAGGUUAAAUUCUUAAGUAUUUGUGUUCAGAGGGAAUUCCACACAGAUUUAUAAUGGUCUUUUUCUUUAUAUAGUGAUCUACAACUGGAAUGUCUUAAUUUUAGAAUUUUGCAAUUGUACCUCCAAGUCCAAGUCGUACUGCUGAAUCUUUCAUGUGCCCAUAUCACUGGCUUCUUUAAGCUCUGCCAUCCUACUGAGGAUUCUGCAUGUCCACCACAGUCUACCUAUAGACUCCUGUC